UACGUAGGGUGCAAGCGUUGUCCGGAAUUAUUGGGCGUAAAGAGCUCGUAGGCGGUCUGUCGCGUCUGCUGUGAAAACUCGGGGCUUAACCCCGGGCCUGCAGUGGGUACGGGCACACUAGAGUGCUGUAGGGGAGACGUGGAAUUCCUGGUGUAGCGGUGAAAUGCGCAGAUAUCAGGAGGAACACCGAUGGCGAAGGCAGGUCUCUGGGCCAUUGAACUGACGCUGAGGAGCGAAAGCAUGGGGAGCGAACAGG
rnacentral:rRNA from 1 species